rnacentral:misc_RNA from 1 species
GAUGAAGAACGUAGCGAAAUGCGAUAAGUAGUGUGAAUUGCAGAAUUCAGCGAAUCAUCGAAUCUUUGAACGCACAUUGCGCCCUUCGGUUAUUCCUUAGGGCAUGCCUGUUCGAGCGUCAUUUCAACCUUCAAGCCUGGCUUGGUGUUGGGCGCUGUCCCGCCUCCGCGCGCGGACUCGCCCCAAAUGAAUUGGCAGUCGCACCCUCCGAGCCGCGAGCGCAGCACAAGUCGCGCGGGCGGAACUCUGGGGGGACGGACGCCCCACAAGACCCUUUCUCAGUCUUGACCUCGGAUCAGGUAGGGAUACCCGCUGAACUUAAGCAUAUCAAUAAGCGGAGGA